GCUGCUCGUCUCCUUCAAGCCAGCGACCAAAGUUUCCCGCACGGCCGUCUUGGAAUCGUCUCGCGUGCCCUCCUCCCGGCCCUCGUGUCUGCCGUCUGUCUGUUUCUGUGUGUCCAGCAAGCCAGUCGAAAUAAGCCCUUGGUGACGCCAGGCUCCAGUACUAUGGAAGAGGAGCUCGGUUGUGCCUGCAGUUGACGUGUAUCACUUAUCUCCCAGCAAGUCUCCUGCUAGUAGAGCUAGUAGUUCCUAGUUCCCCCUACUCUUGCUAGCAGAACUUAAUAUUCCCAGGGUUAUCAUGAGUGGAGGAGGAGACGGGCUCGAGUCCGCGUCCCUGGUGCGUCACGGCAGUGGAGGAGGCCGCAGCUACACUUCUGAAGGUGGAAUGCUAAGGGAGAGCGAAGGUGG
rnacentral:lncRNA from 1 species